rnacentral:sRNA from 1 species
CAAGCAUGAGGAGGGUAGGAAACAGAGCACAAAGAACAGAACCUGGAGAGUUGGACUGACUCCAAUACUGGCCUAAUAACUGGCAGCGGGAUGCACAUGAUGGGGAAGUCAACGCUGUGCAGUUCAGUCCAGGUUCCCGGUUACUGGCCACCGGAGGCAUGGACCGCAGGGUUAAGCUUUGGGAAGUAUUUGGAGAAAAAUGUGAGUUCAAGGGUUCCCUAUCUGGCAGUAAUGCAGGAAUUACAAGCAUUGAAUUUGAUAGUGCUGGAUCUUACCUCUUAGCAGCUUCAAAUGAUUUUGCAAGCCGAAUCUGGACUGUGGAUGAUUAUCGAUUACGGCACACACUCACGGGACACAGUGGGAAAGUGCUGUCUGCUAAGUUCCUGCUGGACAAUGCGCGGAUUGUCUCAGGAAGUCACGACCGGACUCUCAAACUCUGGGAUCUACGCAGCAAAGUCUGCAUAAAGACAGUGUUUGCAGGAUCCAGUUGCAAUGAUAUUGUCUGCACAGAGCAAUGUGUAAUGAGUGGACAUUUUGACAAGAAAAUUCGUUUCUGGGAC